GUCUCUACUGUUCAGGAAGGUUUAGGAUGUGUGGGCUUGCUGGAGGACAUGUAUCACAGGGGGUGGGCUUGGAGGUUUCAAA